UUUGUACUCCCUCCAUCCCAAAAUUCUUGUCUUAAAUUUGUCUAAAUACGGAUGUAUCUAGUUACAUUUUAGUGUUAGAUACAUCCGUAUCUAAACAAAUGUAAGACAAGAAUUUUGGGACGGAAGGAAUACUAC
rnacentral:pre_miRNA from 1 species